UACAGAGGUGGCAAGCGUUGUUCGGAAUUACUGGGCGUAAAGGGCGCGUAGGCGGUCUUGCAAGUCCCGUGUGAAAUCCCUCGGCUCAACUGAGGAAUGGCACGGGAAACUGCUUGGCUUGAGUUCGGGAGAGGGAAGCGGAAUUCCUGGUGUAGCGGUGGAAUGCGCAGAUAUCAGGAGGAACACCGAUGGCGAAGGCAGUUCUCUGGGCCGUAACUGACGCUGAGGAGCGAAAGCGUGGGGAGCGAACAGG
rnacentral:rRNA from 1 species